GAUGAACGCUGGCGGCGUGCUUAACACAUGCAAGUCGAACGGAAAGACCCUGCUUUUGUGGGUUUCUCGAGUGGCGAACGGGUGAGUAACACGUGAGUAACCUGCCCUUGACUUUGGGAUAACUUCUGGAAACUCGGGCUCUUACAGGAUAGGAGCUCCUGCAGCAUGGUGGGGGUUGGAAAGUUUCGGCGGUUGGGUAUGGACUAGCGGCUUGUCAGCUUGUUGGUGGGGUAGGGGCUUACCAAGGCUGUGAGGGGUACCACGCCUGAGAGGGUGCACGGUCAAAUUGGGACUGGGAGACGGCCGAGAGGCAUAUGGGAGGAAGGAGGGGGGAAUAUUGCACAAAGGGCGGAAGCGUGAAGAAGCAACUCCGCUUGCGGGAUGACGUUCUUCGGGUUGUAAACCGCUUUCGCUUGUGACGAAGCGUGAGUGACGGUAAUGGGUAAAGAAGAACCGGAUAACUACG
rnacentral:rRNA from 1 species